rnacentral:rRNA from 1 species
UUAGCUNNNNGGAGGGGUAANGGCCCACCAAGGNUNNGAUGUCUAGGGGUUUUGAGAGGAGAAUCCCCCCACACUGNNNCUGAGACACGGACCAGACUCCUACGGGAGGCAGCAGUAAGGAAUAUUGGUCAAUGGAGGGAACUCUGAACCAGCCAUGCCGCGUGCAGGAUGACUGCCCUAUGGGUUGUAAACUGCUUUUGUCAGGGAAUAAACCUUUCCACGUGUGGGAAGCUGAAUGUACCUGAAGAAUAAGGAUCGGCUAACUCCGUGCCAGCAGCCGCGGUAAUACGGAGGAUCCAAGCGUUAUCCGGAUUUAUUGGGUUUAAAGGGUGCGUAGGCGGUCCUAUAAGUCAGUGGUGAAAGACGGCAGCUUAACUGUCGCAGUGCCUUUGAUACUGUAGGACUUGAAUCUAUUUGAAGUGGGCGGAAUAAGACAAGUAGCGGUGAAAUGCAUAGAUAUGUCUUAGAACUCCGAUUGCGAAGGCAGCUCACUAAGUUAGUAUUGACGCUGAUGCACGAAAGCGUGGGGAUCAAACAGGAUUAGAUACCCUGGUAGUCCACGCCCUAAACGAUGAUAACUCGAUGUUUGCGAUACACAGUAAGCGUCCAAGCGAAAGCGUUAAGUUAUCCACCUGGGGAGUACGGUCGCAAGAUUGAAACUCAAAGGAAUUGACGGGGGCCCGCACAAGCGGAGGAGCAUGUGGUUUAAUUCGAUGAUACGCGAGGAACCUUACCCGGGCUUGAAAGUUAGUGAAUGAUCCAGAGACGGAUCAGUCCUUCGGGACACGAAACUAGGUGCUGCAUGGCUGUCGUCAGCUCGUGCCGUGAGGUGUUGGGUUAAGUCCCGCAACGAGCGCAACCCCUAUGUUUAGUUGCCAGCACAUUAAGGUGGGGACUCUAAACAGACUGCCAGCGUAAGCUGUGAGGAAGGUGGGGACGACGUCAAGUCAUCAUGGCCCUUACGUCCGGGGCUACACACGUGCUACAAUGGAUGGUACAGCGGGCAGCUACAUAGCAAUAUGGUGCUAAUCUCUAAAAGCCAUUCACAGUUCGGAUUGAGGUCUGCAACUCGACCNNNUGAANNNGAUUCGCUAGAAUCGCGAUCAGC